rnacentral:rRNA from 1 species
UACGGAGGGUGCGAGCGUUGUCCGGAAUCACUGGGCGUAAAGGGCGCGUAGGCGGCUCGAUAAGUAGGAGGUGAAAUCCUGCGGCUUAACCGCAGGGCUGCCUUCUAAACUGUCAGGCUCGAGCACAGUAGAGGCAGGUGGAAUUCCCGGUGUAGCGGUGGAAUGCGUAGAGAUCGGGAAGAACAUCAGUGGCGAAGGCGGCCUGCUGGGCUGUUGCUGACGCUGAGGCGCGACAGCGUGGGGAGCAAACAGG